UCGCGUGAUGGAGAGUCCAUAACCAAAUGUUAAGAUUUAGCGAAUAAAUAAAACACGACUCGUCCAUAUAAUUCAAGCGGUUUAAAGGCCUGCUCAAAAAGGCGCGGUGCGGUACAGCGCGGUAUAAUCCCGUACGAUACGCGGUAACGAUAUACGCAAAGGCACUCAAACAGGCGCGGUGCGGUAUAGCAAGAAACAUUGUUGCCAUGUGACGAGCUCAAAUUAACGGCACUCAACGCAUUCCUCCUUCUAAAUUUAUACAUAUAUUAUAAAUCUGAUUUUCGCGAUGGAUAGCUAAAGCUCUGAGGACGAAUUAUUGCUAUUAGCAGUACUUCUCGAUGAAGAAAACAAAAGAUCUUUAUACCAUAACAAACUAUCAAAUAUUCCGGAUGAUUUUUCAUACUUAUCAAACCUACAAAGCUUACAACUUGAUAGCAAUCCUCUACGUUGCGAUUGUUCAGUUCAUUCGCUAUGGUGGUAUUACACCCAAGAAAUUUCGAUAUUUAAUAAUACUCGGCAAAAUCGUACUCAGGUCACGUUGUCUUGUAAGUCUUUGCACUCUGGAGUUAAAGAGCUUACGGAACUUCGAGUAGAGGACUUUAAUUGCGAGCUUCCUGAAAUCAUAUUGGCACCUGAGAGUCAAGUAAUAAAUUCUGGAAAAUCCUUUACCUUAGAAUGUGAUGCAGACGGAGACCCUACACCCAAUAUUUUAUGGUUGUUCAAUGGAUAUCCAUUAAAACAAGAUGGCCGUGUAACAUUAGACAAUGAAAACACCGAGCUUACGAUAGACAAUGCAUUAAAAGAAGAUA